GGCAGCUCGUGGGUAAUCAGGGAAAGAAAGAAAGAAAGAAGAAGAAGAAGAAGAAGAAGAAGAAGAAGAAGAGAAAGAAAAUUGGGGCUUUUAGGGUUCUUGCUUUAAUCUUGUCAUUUCGGGUCAAAAUUUCCAAAGGAUAGCGUAUCGCUUGCUUAAAUGUUAAGAAUGGGCUGAGGCAGUGGAGAGUUUAGAAGACGUUGGGCAGAACUUUUGUUAGCAUAUAUGUAGUUGUGUAUAAGCUACCUUGCAUCUAAUGAAAUGUGACUGUGAAUCUGAACCUGUGGAUUUUGUGUAAGUUAAAGGAUCCCUCAUGUAUAGGGUUUUGGAAUGUUAAAUUAAAUUCGUGUAAUGAUAUGAACUUAUGGUAAAUCGAUGAUUGUGGUGACUGCAUAGAUUUCCCCACUUGUGGAAUUAAAUUGUGGUUUUUAUUUU